ensembl:lncRNA
UUUUUUUCUUUUUCAGCUGUACCUGCAACACCUGGAAGUUCCCAGGCCAGGGAUCAAAUCCCAGUUACAACCUGUGGUGCAGCCACAGCAACACUAGAUCCUUAACAUGCUGUUCCACAGUGGGAACUCCACAUAGUAAGGAUUUUAGACUUAGGGCUAAAAGGCCAAAUUGAGAAUAUUAUGUAGGUACUUACAUAACACGAGAAAACAAAUUUCCACAUUUUUUACUGAUUAAAAUAUAAUAUUUAGUUACAAUUUUCGGGGGGGUGUCUUUUUAGGGCUGCACUCUCAGCACAUGGAGGUUCCCAGGCUAGGGUCAAAUUGGAGCUGUAGCUGCUGGCCUAUACCACAGCCACAGCAAUGCCAGAUUCGAGCCAAAUCUGCGACCUCCCCCACAGUUCACAGCAACGCUGGAUGCUUAACCCAAUGAGCGUGGCCAGGGAUCAAAUCUGCAUCCUUUUGGAUACUAGUUAGAUUCGUUUCCGCUGAGCCACAAAGGGAACUCCUAAUUGGUUACGAUUUUUGGUAACACAGUCUACUAAUAAGAAUGGACUUAGAAGGGAGGGAAUAACAUUUGCAAAGCUGGAAACUCUCUUUCAUCAAAACAUCACAGGGAGUUCCCUUGUAGCACACUAGGUUAAGGAUCGAGUACUGCCACUGCAGUGGCUCGGGUUGCCUCUGUGGCUCUGGUUCAAUUCCUGACCCAGGAACUUCCACAUGCCAUGGACAUGGCCAAAACAAAAACAAAAACAAAACUGAUUACGAAAGUUUGUUAAUGCUGAUUCUGUAAUAAGAUUUUACACAUUUCUUUUUCGAAAUUGUCUUCUCACAUAGACAAGAAUUAUUAAAAGCUAUUAUUAUUCAGCAAGCAUGAUUUUAAUUGAGCAUAUACUAGUUUAAAAGACAUGUCUAGGAGUUCCCAUUGUGGCGCAGUGGUUAACGAAUCCGACCAGGAACCAUGAGGGGAACUCCUAAAAUACAGUAUUUUUUAUCUUCAAGAAAAUAAUAUAAGAGCAGAUAAGCCCUUCUAUACUAAAAAUCCUAAAUGACUCAUCCAAGUAUGUGUGUGUUUGUAAAUUCCUAUUUCUUACAAUGUGCUGAAAAUCUUUUCUCAUUUUUGAAGAGCUCUAGGUAAACUAUUAGCAGUUGUAGAUUCAACGUUUGUAAGGAUAUAUAUACACAUAUUCUGUUUUGACACCAAACAUAACCCACAAACCAUACAACUUUGUAAUAACACCCACACCAGUGGGAGUUGCCCCAAAAUUUGCUUUUAAAAAACAAGGCCAAAUAAAGCUAACAUUGGUGAUUGGCAAAUACUUAGACAAUUCUGAUAAAGCCCUAUCUUCUGAAGUAAUCCUGGUUUAGAACAUUCUCUCUGACAGAAAAAGCAAGCUCAGAUAGUAUUAUUCAGGCAAACAAACGAAGUGCCUAGUGAAUUCCUGAGUGCGUCUCGACUUUUAAUAAGACCGGCUUUGACCCUUUAACUGGGACCAGUAUAACCCCCCCGGACACACUGCAACCGUCCUAACAGGCAGAGGCGCACAUGGAAAUCCAAAGUACAAGUGCCGCAGGCACUUCGACGAUCGAACACUUUAAGGCGAGGGAGCCACUCACAGCAAACGAUUUCAGCCCAUUCUUCACUGGGCAGGAGCCGACACCUGUGAGCCGUCAAGAACAAGAACCAUGGAUGGUAGUACAACACUGGCACGACCAGUCCUACUGUCCUUGCUUCCCUCCUUUUGUAAUUGUCACCUUGCCCUACGGAGCUCAGAACUGGUAAAACUGAGGAGAGAAAGUUCAUGUAAAUUAGUGACUCACAUCGCUAAUUCUGGAGACUCUGCGAGCAGUACUGAAAACCCUGGUUCAGUUCCCUAAAUUAGAUAAUCCAAAGCCUUCCUAUGUAUAGCUAGCCUGAAAAGCUUCCAACUUGAUGAACAUUUCAGUAUAAAUGUUUUAAUGG